rnacentral:rRNA from 1 species
UACGUAGGGGCUAGCGUUGUCCGGAAUCAUUGGGCGUAAAGCGCGCGUAGGCGGCCCGGUAAGUCCGCUGUGAAAGUCAAAGGCUCAACCUUUGAAUGUCAGCGGAUACUGCCAGGCUAGAGUCCGGAAGAGGCGAGUGGAACUCCUGGUGUAGCGGUGGAAUGCGCAGAUAUCAGGAAGAACACCACGGCGAAGGCAGCUCGCUGGGACGGAACUGACGCUGGAGGCGCGAAAGCGUGGGGGAGCGAACAGG